rnacentral:rRNA from 1 species
UAACGCGUGAGUAACCUGCCUUUCAGAGGGGGAGUAACGUUCUGAAAAGAACGCUAAUACCGCAUAAGAUUGUAGUUUCGCAUGGAGCAGCAAUCAAAGGAGCAAUCCGCUGAAAGAUGGACUCGCGUCCGAUUAGAUAGUUGGCGGGGUAACGGCCCACCAAGUCGACGAUCGGUAGCCGGACUGAGAGGUUGAUCGGCCACAUUGGGACUGAGACACGGCCCAG